rnacentral:rRNA from 1 species
GGAUGUGCUUGCACAUCGCUGACGAGUGGCGGACGGCCGACAAAAGAAAUGGGAACUUGCCUUUGCGAGGGGGAUAACAGUUGCUUACGACUGCUAAUACCGCAUAAUGUCUUCGGACCAAACGGGGCUUCGGCUCCGGCGCAAAGAGAGGCCCAAGUGAGAUUAGCUAGUUGGUGAGGUAAAGGCUCACCAAGGCGACGAUCUCUAGCUGUUCUGAGAGGAAGAUCAGCCACACUGGGACUGAGACACGGCCCAGACUCCUACGGGAGGCAGCAGUGGGGAAUAUUGCACAAUGGGGGAAACCCUGAUGCAGCCAUGCCGCGUGUGUGAAGAAGGCCUUCGGGUUGUAAAGCACUUUCAGUUGUGAGGAAAAGUUAGUAGUUAAUACCUGCUAGCCGUGACGUUAACAACAUAAUAAGCACCGGCUAACUCCGUGCCAGCAGCCGCGGUAAUACGGAGGGUGCGAGCGUUAAUCGGAAUUACUGGGCGUAAAGCGCACGCAGGCGGUUUGUUAAGCUAGAUGUGAAAGCCCCCGGGCUCAACCUGGGAUGGUCAUUUAGAACUGGCAGACUAGAGUCUUGGAGAGGGGGAGUGGAAUUCCCAGGUGUAGCGGUGAAAUGCG